rnacentral:rRNA from 1 species
AGAGUUUGAUCCUGGCUCAGGAUGAACGCUGGCGGCAUGCCUAAUACAUGCAAGUCGAACGAAGUUUCGAGGAAGCUUGCUUCCAAAGAGACUUAGUGGCGAACGGGUGAGUAACACGUAGGUAACCUGCCCAUGUGUCCGGGAUAACUGCUGGAAACGGUAGCUAAAACCGGAUAGGUAUACGGAGCGCAUGCUCAGUAUAUUAAAGCGCCCUUCAAGGCGUGAACAUGGAUGGACCUGCGGCGCAUUAGCUAGUUGGUGAGGUAACGGCCCACCAAGGCGAUGAUGCGUAGCCGGCCUGAGAGGGUAAACGGCCACAUUGGGACUGAGACACGGCCCAAACUCCUACGGGAGGCAGCAGUAGGGAAUUUUCGUCAAUGGGGGAAACCCUGAACGAGCAAUGCCGCGUGAGUGAAGAAGGUCUUCGGAUCGUAAAGCUCUGUUGUAAGUGAAGAACGGCUCAUAGAGGAAAUGCUAUGGGAGUGACGGUAGCUUACCAGAAAGCCACGGCUAACUACGUGCCAGCAGCCGCGGUAAUACGUAGGUGGCAAGCGUUAUCCGGAAUCAUUGGGCGUAAAGGGUGCGUAGGUGGCGUACUAAGUCUGUAGUAAAAGGCAAUGGCUCAACCAUUGUAAGCUAUGGAAACUGGUAUGCUGGAGUGCAGAAGAGGGCGAUGGAAUUCCAUGUGUAGCGGUAAAAUGCGUAGAUAUAUGGAGGAACACCAGUGGCGAAGGCGGUCGCCUGGUCUGUAACUGACACUGAGGCACGAAAGCGUGGGGAGCAAAUAGGAUUAGAUACCCUAGUAGUCCACGCCGUAAACGAUGAGAACUAAGUGUUGGAGGAAUUCAGUGCUGCAGUUAACGCAAUAAGUUCUCCGCCUGGGGAGUAUGCACGCAAGUGUGAAACUCAAAGGAAUUGACGGGGGCCCGCACAAGCGGUGGAGUAUGUGGUUUAAUUCGAAGCAACGCGAAGAACCUUACCAGGGCUUGACAUCCCACUAACGAGGCAGAGAUGCGUUAGGUGCCCUUCGGGGAAAGUGGAGACAGGUGGUGCAUGGUUGUCGUCAGCUCGUGUCGUGAGAUGUUGGGUUAAGUCCCGCAACGAGCGCAACCCUUAUUGUUAGUUGCCAUCAUUUAGUUGGGCACUCUAGCGAGACUGCCGGUGACAAACCGGAGGAAGGUGGGGAUGACGUCAAAUCAUCAUGCCCCUUAUGGCCUGGGCUACACACGUACUACAAUGGCGACCACAAAGAGCAGCGACACAGUGAUGUGAAGCGAAUCUCAUAAAGGUCGUCUCAGUUCGGAUUGAAGUCUGCAACUCGACUUCAUGAAGUCGGAAUCGCUAGUAAUCGCAGAUCAGCAUGCUGCGGUGAAUACGUUCUCGGGCCUUGUACACACCGCCCGUCAAACCAUGGGAGUCAGUAAUACCCGAAGCCGGUGGCAUAACCGUAAGGAGUGAGCCGUCGAAGGUAGGACCGAUGACUGGGGUUAAGUCGUAACAAGGUAUCCCUACGGGAACGUGGGGAUG